rnacentral:rRNA from 1 species
AACGUGAGGGGCAAGUAUUAUUCGGAAUGACUGGGCGUAAAGGGCGCGUAGGUGGUAUAUUAAGUCGAAGGGGAAAUCCUAAUGUUUAACAUUAGAAGAUCUUUGAUACUGGUAUACUUGAGUGAAUUUAAGGAUAAUGGAAUUUAUACAGGUGCGAUAAAAUGUGAAAUUGUAUAAAGACCACCAAUGGCGAAGGCAAUUAUCUAUAAUUUAACUGACACUGAGGUGCGAAAGCAUGGGGAGCAAACAGG